UAUUUCUUUUACCAGACUGUUUUGUUUUGCUUCACUUUGAGGCGAGGAUCUACCGAAAACAUCCUCUCUACUUGCCAAGAUAUUAGGAAUCCAGCAGAGCAGAUAGAUUCAAGAUCAGCCCGUGAUAUCUUAUGAGUCCAACAAGCAUUUAUCUGUCCAUCAAAUCCACAAUUUGACUGCAUCCCGGAUGCUGAUAUGCCUUUCACGUAUUCCUGGCACAGCCCAAAAAUAAGAGGGGGAAAAACACCAGCCCUCUGUUCAGGAGUCUUUGCCUUCAAAAACCGGACAGCAAUUGAUAGAGUUUGACGAUCGAGCUGCAG